UGGGGAAUUUUGGACAAUGGGGGAAACCCUGAUCCAGCCAUCCCGCGUGUGCGAUGAAGGCCUUCGGGUUGUAAAGCACUUUUGGCAGGAAAGAAACGUCGUGGGUUAAUACCCCGCGAAACUGACGGUACCUGCAGAAUAAGCACCGGCUAACUACGUGCCAGCAGCCGCGGUAAUACGUAGGGUGCAAGCGUUAAUCGGAAUUACUGGGCGUAAAGCGUGCGCAGGCGGUUCGGAAAGAAAGAUGUGAAAUCCCAGAGCUUAACUUUGGAACUGCAUUUUUAACUACCGGGCUAGAGUGUGUCAGAGGGAGGUGGAAUUCCGCGUGUAGCAGUGAAAUGCGUAGAUAUGCGGAGGAACACCGAUGGCGAAGGCAGCCUCCUGGGAUAACACUGACGCUCAUGCACGAAAGCGUGGGGAGCAAACAGGAUUAGAUACCCUGGUAGUCCACGCCCUAAACGAUGUCAACUAGCUGUUGGGGUCUUCGGACCUUGGUAGCGCAGCUAACGCGUGAAGUUGACCGCCUGGGGAGUACGGUCGC
rnacentral:rRNA from 1 species